AGCAUAUCAAUAAGCGGAGGAAAAGAAACCAACAGGGAUUGCCCUAGUAACGGCGAGUGAAGCGGCAACAGCUCAAAUUUGAAAUCUGGCCUCGGCCCGAGUUGUAAUUUGCAGAGGAAGCUUUAGGCGCGGCACCUUCUGAGUCCCCUGGAACGGGGCGCCAUAGAGGGUGAGAGCCCCGUAUAGUUGGAUGCCUAGCCUGUGUAAAGCUCCUUCGACGAGUCGAGUAGUUUGGGAAUGCUGCUCAAAAUGGGAGGUAAAUUUCUUCUAAAGCUAAAUACCGGCCAGAGACCGAUAGCGCACAAGUAGAGUGAUCGAAAGAUGAAAAGCACUUUGAAAAGAGGGUUAAAAAGCACGUGAAAUUGUUGAAAGGGAAGCGCUUGUGACCAGACUUGCGCCGGGCUGAUCAUCCGGUGUUCUCACCGGUGCACUCGGCCCGGCACAGGCCAGCAUCGGUUCUCGCGGGGGGAUAAAGGUCCCGGGAACGUAGCUCCUCCGGGAGUGUUAUAGCCCGGGGCGUAAUGCCCUCGCGGGGACCGAGGUUCGCGCAUCUGCAAGGAUGCUGGCGUAAUGGUCAUCAGCGACCCGUCUUGAAACACGGACCAAGGAGUCAAGGUUUUGCGCGAGUGUUUGGGUGUCAAACCCGCACGCGUAAUGAAAGUGAACGUAGGUGAGAGCUUCGGCGCAUCAUCGACCGAUCCUGAUGUUUUCGGAUGGAUUUGAGUAGGAGCGUUAAGCCUUGGACCCGAAAGAUGGUGAACUAUGCUUGGAUAGGGUGAAGCCAGAGGAAACUCUGGUGGAGGCUCGCAGCGGUUCUGACGUGCAAAUCGAUCGUCAAAUCUGAGCAUGGGGGCGAAAGACUAAUCGAACCAUCUAGUAGCUGGUUACCGCCGAA
rnacentral:rRNA from 1 species